AAAGUGUGUGUGUGUGUGUGUGUGUGUGUGUGUGUGUGUGUGUGUGUGUGUGUGUGUGUGUGUGUGUGUGUGUGUGUGUGUGUGUGUGUGUGUGUGUGUGUGUGUGUGUGUGUGUGUGUGUGUGUGUGUGUGUGUGUGUGUGUGUGUGUGUGUGUGUGUGUGUGAACAACCCGAGUUGCCCCAAGAGGACUUGGCAGCAAAUUAAAAUGAAGUACAAAAAUAUAGUUCAAACAGGUAAACUAAUGUUUAAUUGAAAUCAAAUCAAUUGUGCUGUUUUGCCUGCUCUACCUAAUUUAACAGCUAUAUUCAACAUGUGAUGGGUCUAUAUUUAAGCAGUAAAUGUAAGUAGUACAUUUCUCAGCUACCCCAACACUGCCAAUAUUUAAUAGGAUUUAGAUAUAUUAGAAGCUCCUAGGCAAAAUGCAUUAUAUGUAUGUAUGUAUGUGUAUAUACAUAUAUAUGUGUCUUCAAAAUAGCGCUUACUGAAUAUUAGGGUAACAUUUUCCUCCAUGUUAGCAAAUCGAAAAAAAAGCAGAGGCCCGGAAGACUGGAGGGGGUCCACCACCUGCAGCCCUCACAGUGGCUGAGGAGAUGGCCCUCAGCCAACAGAGUAUGCGUCCUGUGGAUGAGGGCAUCCCUGGAGGGAGCUCCUCUGAUCCCCCCACCCCCCAGGAUAGAAGUGCCUUUAUCAGAGUUACUGAUGGCGUCAUCGCCCUACUGGAACCAGAUGCCCUCACCAACCUCCAUGCAAUUGAAGAUGAUGGAGAAACAUUGUCUGCGGCAUUUGAAAGGGAAGAGGAAAGCCCUAUUGAGG